GUCGUGUGGCAGGGUUAAAGUUGAGCCUUCUCCGGAUCAGUGUGUUUGGGGUAAAUCACGCUUCACCUGCACGCGCCCAGACGCUUUUCUCUUCUUUUCAGCGCAAAAAAACUCGACCAGCAGCGUAAGUUCCCUCUGCUGUUGACAACGAAACGCACAACGUCUACAUGAUCCGGGCGACAAACUGCUGGAGAUUGUUUUCGGCGUGCACGAGUUUUUACUCACAGGUCCUCAUCUGAAGGCAAGACGCAUCAGAAUUAUGACUCACCAGAAGAAGAAAUACUGAGGUUGGUUCACCUGUGGUGGUGAGUUCUGGUUAAGUCAGGUGAUGUAGAGGUGUGUGGGUGACCAGAACUUUCAACCCACCUGCGGCUCAGCGCUGUGACUCAUCCAGACUUGCUGCUUUCUUCUGAUCUACUGUCACGUGAUGCUCUGAAGUGAUGGACCUGAGCCAUAUUCACAGACCAGACUGUCAGCGUGCAGGACUCUUGUGACCAGG